CCCUGAUGUUAGCGGCGGACGGGUGAGUAACACGUGGGUAACCUGCCUGUAAGACUGGGAUAACUCCGGGAAACCGGGGCUAAUACCGGAUGGUUGUUUGAACCGCAUGGUUCAAACAUAAAAGGUGGCUUCGGCUACCACUUACAGAUGGACCCGCGGCGCAUUAGCUAGUUGGUGAGGUAACGGCUCACCAAGGCAACGAUGCGUAGCCGACCUGAGAGGGUGAUCGGCCACACUGGGACUGAGACACGGCCCAGACUCCUACGGGAGGCAGCAGUAGGGAAUCUUCCGCAAUGGACGAAAGUCUGACGGAGCAACGCCGCGUGAGUGAUGAAGGUUUUCGGAUCGUAAAGCUCUGUUGUUAGGGAAGAACAAGUACCGUUCGAAUAGGGCGGUACCUUGACGGUACCUAACCAGAAAGCCACGGCUAACUACGUGCCAGCAGCCGCGGUAAUACGUAGGUGGCAAGCGUUGUCCGGAAUUAUUGGGCGUAAAGGGCUCGCAGGCGGUUUCUUAAGUCUGAUGUGAAAGCCCCCGGCUCAACCGGGGAGGGUCAUUGGAAACUGGGGAACUUGAGUGCAGAAGAGGAGAGUGGAAUUCCACGUGUAGCGGUGAAAUGCGUAGAGAUGUGGAGGAACACCAGUGGCGAAGGCGACUCUCUGGUCUGUAACUGACGCUGAGGAGCGAAAGCGUGGGGAGCGAACAGGAUUAGA
rnacentral:rRNA from 2 species